AUUGAACGCUGGCGGCAGGCCUAACACAUGCAAGUCGAACGAGCGGCGGACGGGUGAGUAAUGUAUGGGAAACUGCCUGAUGGAGGGGGAUAACUACUGGAACCGGUAGCUAAUACCGCAUACCAUCAGAUGUACCCAGAUGGGAUUAGCUGGUUGGUGGGGUAAAGGCUCACCAAGGCCACGAUCCCUAGCUGGUCUGAGAGGAUGACCGGCCACGCUGGAACUGAGACACGGCCCAGACUCCUACGGGAGGCAGCAGUGGGGAAUAGUGCACAAUGGGCGCAAGCCUGAUGCAGCCAUGCCGGGUGUAUGAAGAAGGCCUUAGGGUGGUAAAGUACUUUCAGCGGGGAGGCGUUACCCGCAGAGGAAGCACCGGCUAACUCCGUGCCAGCAGCCGCGGUAAUUC
rnacentral:rRNA from 1 species